GUGGUUAGUGUGUAUGAACUAUAAAAUUAACUGGUUAACUUUUUUUUAAGUAUGCUGCUCACUACAAAUUUUUGAAUCAAAGAAAUAUGCACAAAUAUCCUAUACAUACUUUUAGCUGAUUUGAACUUCUGAGUUCUAUCUUUUGCCCCCUGAUGUGUGUAUGGUGUGCAUGUUUGUAUGUGGGUGCUCAUCCAAGAGGUUCCUGCUGGGAAUUGGGCUCACUUGCUUUUCCCAGUUUAUGCACUGAUGCAGGGUUUCUCACUUGCACACAGAGCAUCAAUAUGGCCUGUCCCAUGAGCUAGCUUGCUCUGGGGAUGCCCUGUCUCCACCUCCCCAAGCUAGAACCACUAGGCUCACCUGGCAUUUACAUAGGCCUUUGGGAUCCAACAUACUGUUAUUCAAUAUAAAAAGGAGAAGAGAAAAAGAGUUGAGGGAAGAUGGGAAAAAGAAGCACUGGAACUAAGGGCAUAGCUAGUCCUUUUCAGCUCUGCUACCUCUGGGCUCAACAGUGGUGCAUGAUUGUAGGAGCAAUAGGGUUAGAGCACUGACUACUGUUUGGGUCACGCUCCCUGUUUGGUACUUAAGCUAGCGUGCAGAGGCUUCUGCCAUCUGGACUACUGAGUUCUUUUCAUCUAUGUCAGAUAGAAACAGACCAACCCAAAAGUGCCUGUCACCUGCUCAGUGAAUAUGAAUACAUUUGCACACACACACAUCCAUAUCCGUGUGUGUCUGGAAAGUCCUGAAAGGAGAAGCAAAGCAGUGUUCUCAGGAGCUUUUGAUGAAAUCUAUCUAUGGAAUGGGAACAUUUUCUUACUUCCCAACUCUUGUUAUUAAGCAUUUAGGGUUUUUAUUUGUGUGUGUGUGUGUGUCUGUGUCUGUGUGUGUGUGUUUUGUAAUAAAAACACAUUUAGCUUAAGCAAGUGCAGUAUUUGGAAAGUGUUUAUUAUGUGUCUAGACAAAAGUUAAGAGCACCCAAGAUAUCUAACUGUGCAAUUGGUAUAUGGAGGCGGUGGCAUGGGAUUUUGGCAGAACACACGUGGAGAUCAGAGAACACUUCUUUCCUUCCACCUUUGAGAAUCAAACUCAAGUGCCCUGGCUUGGACAGCCAGCACCUUUACUCACUCAGCUGUCUCACUGCCCUGGUACAGUUAUAUUUAAAGCUUUUAUGUGCGGCUACCAGAGUUGUACAGUAAAGAGCAGCCAUUAUGUUGGUUUGGCUGUCCUAAGUUUUCAUUUACUCCAGAUUGUUUUGUUAGGAUCUUUCCCAAAAGUUGUGUGUUCUGCCAUUCAUUCAUAAAGGUCACUAUCUUUACUUUCUUAAAAAGGUGUACAAGUUCUACCAUUAAAAUAAAGCAGGGAAUUUUAAAAAGUAUGUCAGAGACUCACAGUCUUUGUCUAGGUAGCCAAGAGUGAAAAAGAGCCAAGAGUAUAUAUACAUAUAAAAUGUUUUGAGUAAGCUUUAAGACACUUAGUGUUGAACCUGAGUUUAUCCUUGUAAGAGGAAUUGUUUUAAUUGUAUAACUAUUUGGUGUUGUAUAACUGCUUCCUACCACUUUGAUAUAAAAAGUUCUUUAAGAACCAGAUUUUAUUUUUUUUAAUGAUUAGGAUCCAUUUGACUCCUUUUUGUUCCCUCAUGCAUAUACCCCUCUCUGUGAAAUGAGUGAAUUUAGUUUCGUAUGAACAUGAGUAUGUUUAAAUAUAUAUACACAUUAGGCAAAAGAUAACCAAAGAUACCAGGACUGGGAGUGGCCAUAAGUAAAGCAGUGUAUGCGGAGUUGAGGCAGGCUUGGUUAGCAGUGAGGGAGUUUUGCAGGAAUCGCUGGCUUUGAGCUCAUACUUUAGCAUCUGCUGUGAUGUAGCAUUCUCUGUCGAGAGCAGAAGCCAGUGUUUGGAUAGCAUGCCUCCUUGCCCAGUGGCCCUGCUUUUGAACUCUGCCCUGCAUGCGCUUUUAGUUUCUAGUUGCAUUUUUCCUUUAUACCCCUUCCCCUUACAUCAGCUAGUUCUCUGAGGAACCAUGAAGAAAAUUAAGGCUUAGCAAUUUUACUUUCCCUACAUCUCAGACUUUUGUUUAGCUUCGGAUAUAAAUAACUAUUUUUCUUAACAUUUGGGGAUUAUUUCAGAGUAGAAGGGUUUUUUUUGUUUUUUGUUGUUGUUGUUGUUUUUUUUUUACCGGAUCUUGCUGACCUCUGAUUUGAAGAUCUGUCUUUUAAAAAGCAUCAUCAGCCACAGACUUUUAAAGUUCACAGACUGCCUACAGACCCGAUAUGUUAAAGGAGUAGAUUUUCCUGUUGCCCCUCCUAUCAACUUUAACCUCCAACCUUCACUAGCAUGUAUCAUGACAAAUAAAACUGCUGAGGUUUGACAGAAGGAUAUAAAGUCACUAGGCCAUUGCAUGGAGAUAGCCAGGGAGUUUUCUCAGCCUGAAAUAAAUGCUCUGAGCAGGUUUUUCCAGAGGAAGUCGUAAACACUCAUAUCAUUCUAGUUUUAAUAAUUAUUGGUCC
rnacentral:lncRNA from 1 species